ACGGGAGGCAGCAGUGAGGAAUAUUGGUCAAUGGAGGCAACUCUGAACCAGCCAUCUCGCGUGAAGGAAUACGGCCCUACGGGUCUUAAACUUCUUUUAUAGGGGGAUAAAGUGAGGCAUGCAUGCCUUUUUGUAGGUACCCUAUGAAUAAGCAUCGGCUAACUCCGUGCCAGCAGCCGCGGUAAUACGGAGGAUCCGAGCGUUAUCCGGAUUUAUUGGGUUUAAAGGGUGCGUAGGCGGGCUGUUAAGUCAGCGGUGAAACCCCCGGGCUCAACCCGGGGACUGCCAUUGAAACUGGCGGCCUUGAGUACGUUGGGAGUGCGCGGAAUGUGUGGUGUAGCGGUGAAAUGCAUAGAUAUCACACAGAACACCGAUCGCGUAGGCAGCGCACUACGCCGCAACUGACGCUGAGGCACGAAGGCGCGGGGAUCGAACAGGAUUAGAUACCCUGGUA
rnacentral:rRNA from 1 species